GAUGAAGAACGUAGCGAAAUGCGAUAAGUAAUGUGAAUUGCAGAAUUCAGUGAAUCAUCGAAUCUUUGAACGCACAUUGCGCCCGCCAGUAUUCUGGCGGGCAUGCCUGUUCGAGCGUCAUUUCAACCAUCAAGCCCCAGGCUUGUGUUGGGGACCUGCGGCUGCCGCAGGCCCUGAAAACCAGUGGCGGGCUCGCUGUCACACCGGGCGUAGUAGAUUUUAUCUCGCUCAGGGCGUGCUGCGGGUUCCGGCCGUUAAAAAGCCGUUUUUACCCAAGGUUGACCUCGGAUCAGGUAGGAAGACCCGCUGAACUUAAGCAUAUCAAUAAGCGGAGGA
rnacentral:misc_RNA from 1 species